GGAUUCCAUAUGCAGAUAAGGAUGAGGAGCCUAUGAUGGUUAAGAUGAUUGGAAAAGCAACGCUGCAUUCCAGGAAAAUGGUCGUUCUGACAAAGGGUUUUCCUAUAAAGGCAAUACUCAGGUCCAUUUGCAGAAGACCUGCCACAAACCCAAGGAAAUACCCUCGCUGACUGCAUUAUGGAGCAAGUAACAGCCCCGAGAAACAAAAUUUUGUUUUCGUUUUCCAGUUAUAUUUGUGAAAGCAUGCCUAGAACAAAGAAACAAUCUGUUAUUGCAUGUUGUUUGACAGUUCCUUCCUAUCUUCUUUCUUUCUCAGAGUAUCAUUGGCCUUUGAAUCCUUGUCUACUACUGUUGUCUCAUCAUUA